AGGUAUGGAGGACAAAUGACUUCAGUUCCUGAUACACGGAUUACUUCUUCACUGUGUUAGGAAUGUUGAUUACAUAAUGUACAUUACACAUUUAGUCUUUAUUCAUUCAUGUUGAUUAAUGUGUUAUAGUUUGCCGUGAAACAUUGUAUACCGGUCUGGUUAGUGCCAACUUGCUCUGUAAUAUCAUAACAUGAAAUUACUCAUUUUGUCUUAGACGAUGCAUUAACAUACAGUGUAAAACAGCCGCUAUGUUCCAAUGUUCACAUUAGCGUACCCUUUAGAACGCAUGGCCAGGUAGGAUCCUAGUGUGGACACUGGGACACAGCUGGUGUUCAGAACGCAUGGCCAGGUAGGAUCCUAGUGUGGACACUGGGACACAGCUGGUGUUCAGAACGCAUGGCCAGGUAGGAUCCUAGUGUGGACACUGGGACACAGCUGGUGUUCAGAACGCAUGGCCAGGUAGGAUCCUAGUGUGGACACUGGGACACAGCUGGUGUUCAGAACGCAUGGCCAGGUAGGAUCCUAGUGUGGACACUGGGACACAGCUGGUGUUCAGAACGCAUGGCCAGGUAGGAUCCUAGUGUGGACACUGGGACACAGCUGGUGUUCAGAACGCAUGGCCAGGUAGGAUCCUAGUGUGGACACUGGGACACAGCUGGUGUUCAGAACGCAUGGCCAGGUAGGAUCCUAGUGUGGACACUGGGACACAGCUGGUGUUCAGAACGCAUGGCCAGGUAGGAUCCUAGUGUGGACACUGGGACACAGCUGGUGUUCAGAACGCAUGGCCAGGUAGGAUCCUAGUGUGGACACUGGGACACAGCUGGUGUUCAGAACGCAUGGCCAGGUAGGAUCCUAGUGUGGACACUGGGACACAGCUGGUGUUCAGAACGCAUGGCCAGGUAGGAUCCUAGUGUGGACACUGGGACACAGCUGGUGUUCAGAACGCAUGGCCAGGUAGGAUCCUAGUGUGGACACUGGGACACAGCUGGUGUUCAGAACGCAUGGCCAGGUAGGAUCCUAGUGUGGACACUGGGACACAGCUGGUGUUCAGAACGCAUGGCCAGGUAGGAUCCUAGUGUGGACACUGGGACACAGCUGGUGUUCAGAACGCAUGGCCAGGUAGGAUCCUAGUGUGGACACUGGGACACAGCUGGUGUUCAGAACGCAUGGCCAGGUAGGAUCCUAGUGUGGACACUGGGACACAGCUGGUGUUCAGAACGCAUGGCCAGGUAGGAUCCUAGUGUGGACACUGGGACACAGCUGGUGUUCAGAACGCAUGGCCAGGUAGGAUCCUAGUGUGGACACUGGGACACAGCUGGUGUUCAGAACGCAUGGCCAGGUAGGAUCCUAGUGUGGACACUGGGACACAGCUGGUGUUCAGAACGCAUGGCCAGGUAGGAUCCUAGUGUGGACACUGGGACACAGCUGGUGUUCAGAACGCAUGGCCAGGUAGGAUCCUAGUGUGGACACUGGGACACAGCUGGUGUUUUGGCAUCCUUAUUACUUACAGACAAACAUGCGGAUGCACAUUCCACACAUGGCACAGACGUUGGCAAUCUGAAGAGCCCGCCCACACUCUCCACUCAUCACGCA